CGCCAGACUCCUACGGGAGGCAGCAGUGGGGGAUAUUGCACAAUGGGGGAAACCCUGAUGCAGCGACGCCGCGUGGGUGAAGAAGCGCCUCGGCGCGUAAAGCCCUGUCAGCAGGGAAGAAAAUGACGGUACCUGAAGAAGAAGCCCCGGCUAACUACGUGCCAGCAGCCGCGGUAAUACGUAGGGGGCAAGCGUUAUCCGGAUUUACUGGGUGUAAAGGGAGCGUAGACGGUAAGGCAAGUCAGAUGUGAAAGCCCGGGGCUCAACCGCGGGACUGCAUUUGAAACUGUCCUACUGGAGUGCAGGAGAGGUAAGUGGAAUUCCUAGUGUAGCGGUGAAAUGCGUAGAUAUUAGGAGGAACACCAGUGGCGAAGGCGGCCUGCUGGACCGUGACUGACGUUGAGGCUCGAGAGCGUGGGGAGCAAACAGGAUUAGAUACCCCGGUA
rnacentral:rRNA from 1 species